CACACACACACACAUAUAUACACAGCCUAUUUAUUGUCAUUCUGUUUAUCUUUUUGCCACAAUAGUAUGACCCACAUUAUCCUAAUUUGUUAUUUUUAUGGGGAUAACUUGAGUCAUGAUUCAAAAGGUUUAUAACAACUCGUACGCUGGAAUGUUUACUCAAUUAGCUUGCUUUUAUAAAAUGCGAGUAUAAACGAUGUAUGUACAUCGUAAGGUUUAUGUAUUUGAACGUAAAAACUAAAGUUAACUCGUAUGGCACAUUUGAUUUUCAGAAAACGAAUGUUUUGUGCAUUGCGUUAGUUGGGCUACAUGCUAUAUAUUGUGAUGUACAGUAUGUAUAUACUGGCGUAAUAGCAAAGUUAAAUGAAAUAGUAUGUGUUACUGUAGUGUGGCUUGUCGUUUUGUAAAUUGAUUGUCCAGGUGUAGAGUUGAUGUAAUAAACAUUUGAUUAUCUCUCCAUUCCUUAUAGAUGCUUGUGGCCUGUCAGAUGUGGCCCAUGUGGAAAGUUUGCAAGAGAAGUCCCAGUGCGCUCUGGAGGAGUACGUUCGGAGCCAGUAUCCCAACCAGCCAACUCGAUUUGGGAAGUUAUUACUGCGCUUGCCCUCUCUCCGUACAGUCUCGUCUUCGGUCAUAGAGCAAUUAUUUUUCGUCCGAUUGGCAAACAAGCAACACCACAUCUUCCUGCUAAGACCUUGCAAACCAACAAGGCCCCAGAGACAUCUGGAAGACAGCUGACAAUGGAGGAGGCUGAGUCUGAGAAACAUCUUCGCAAGGAAAGGCUGACGCUGUACUGCAUGUUAUUCUAUGAAAUGCAAUGUUCACACAUCAUACGAGCUACAUGUAUGAGGCACAAGAAUACACAGAAUGAGUUCCAAGAACAAAGGAGAUGAGAGAGAGAAAGUGAAAGACGAAAACAGAGAAACCGCGAGAGAUUGGACGAGAGCUUGUAAAAUAAUGACAGCCAGAGGGCCAAAGGGGUUACAACCUUUUGAGAAGGCUGUAUCGGGUUGUAUCAGGUUAUCUGAAGUGGUCACUGAUAAUGCCUUUCACACAUGCUUCGUUUGAUACCUUUUGCUGGCUGAGAGAGUGGCUUAAUCAAUACCUGCAGUGGAUCAGUGCUCUGGGGUUACUAUAUGGCCAGCUCGCCACCGGCUCAGCAACAUUCAAGAGCCAGCUAAUUGAGCUUUGUAAUUUCACCAGGUCAACCUGAAAAUAGCACAUCCAUUCAUCAACCUUUAUCUGUGGCAGAGACCUAUCUUUCCACAGUUGUUCUCUCUGCAUCUGCUUCUUUCUACCGUGAUGUUUCAUCGAUCUCAUCAUAUAUCACUCCCGCCAUCAAAGGAAUUAUUGGGCUGAAUCUUCAAAUGACUUCUCCAACUCCAGUGUCAAAUCAUCCUGUAUUGAUGUGUUUGUCCAUUCAAAAGCUACAAAUAAGCAUGUGGACCGAUGUGUAAUUUACUUUCAAUACAUUAAAAUUGUGGAUAUUACCAAGGAGAUUCUCUGGGCAAUUCGCAACUGAUAGAUAGACACUAACCAUGCAAAAAAAAAAAAAAAACCCUGAAAUACAUACUCAUGCACAAUAUACAGUGUGUAUAUAUAUAUAUAUAUAUAUAUUGUGUGAGUGUGUGUGUGUGUGUGUGUAAAGUACUAGUACAUUAGCAAUAACAGGUCAGUCCUCUACAACACAGCUACACUUGAUUGGACAGUCCAGGCUGAAAGCAAACAAGAGAAUGAAAUAUAGUCACUCUGAGUGUAUCUUCUUCAGAUCAAUUGCCCAUGAUCACAGUAAUCCAUAUUUUCAGUUUACACAGCUAUAUUUUCUUUUACCUAUUGGCAUUUUGGGUGUGUGUGUAUGGAGGGGGAUCAUCUGAAGCUAACUCCGUCAGUGCU
ensembl:lncRNA